CUGACUUUGAGGAAGAGCCAGAAGUCACAUAGUUAAGAAGGUGGGUGAGGACACACUGUCAUGUUUAUGAGCCUUCCUGUCCGGAUGGCACUCAGCAGCAGCAUUCUGAUUCCACUUUAUAAAGGCACUUGUAAAAGAGGACAUCCAGAACUGCUUCAGAAAGUGGCAAGACGGGUGAGCCACCAACCCUGUUAUGGCUAUACCUGCAGAAGCUGCCUACAGAAAGAGCGAGCCCAGACUCCGUGGGACCAACAUAUCUGCUUUUCUUUGUGUUCAGCACAGAGAAAUACCAGCU
rnacentral:lncRNA from 1 species